GUGUGUGCCUAUCAGAACGUGAUGUGGUGGAGUAUCUCUUGUUUAUUUGGUGUUUUCCGUACUGCAUCCUGCUCCUGAGGCUGAUAUCACGUACAAACCAGAGAACAGUGAAUGACUGUUUUCAUCAGUAUUGUUGUUACUGUUACAAGCAACAAUCUCUGCUGCUGUCUGAAAGUAUCCGGGCUUCGGAACAAGGUUUUCUCUUUUUUUCAUUUAUGGAUUGGGGGGGGCAGCCACCGUGUUGAGUGUCAUGAAAGUUCAAGUGAUGCAUGCUCUCAUCUCAGGAUGUCGACACAAACACACCUUGUCGUAGUGAAAUGAACCAUAAGAUGUUUUCCCCUUUGCUUGGAAACAAAGAAACAUCAACAACAAAAAAACAUUUAUUGAUUAAUAAUCUGAAAAAGGGCUCUUCUGUCUAUAGCAUGAGAGAGGAUGCUGCGUCACGUUGACACACCUGUGAGCUGGUGCUUCCACAGCGCAUCCCCCUCUGUGAAAUGUCUAAACUGCUGUCUGUGGUGGCCCAAAAGCUUCCCAUCCGUCUCUGGAAGCUGUGAGCAAAAGCCUCUGUGUAAUGCUGCAGAUCUGUUCAUCAAAUAGCAGAUACUGUGGUAUUUCUAACUCAAAACACAACAUUACGGAUGAAGCGCAGAGGAAAACCACAGCUCCAGCCGCUUUGUUCAAUAUAUUUUAACCUUCUAAGAAUUCUAUCUGUUGUCGUAACUGGCUGGAAACUAUUAAACCAUCACUGAAAAUUAGUUGGAAGAAUGUAUGCUUGUUACAAAAAAAAAAAAAGCUCCAUGUUGAGUCAUUGUCAAUCAAUAUAUUUUUCUAUUCUUCUGUCUGUAUGACUCAAGAGACGACGUGGAUGUGUGAGGUAAGGUGCUGUACAGCUGUGAUGCCUUAUAAGAAUAAAAUGAGCUCAUCUUCA